UUGAAAAACCAGUUCCUGUACAAUCACCAAAGUUAAGCAACAUUGAGCCCAGUCAGUGCCUAGAUUGGUGACCACUUGGGAAUACCAGGUGCUGUAAG